CCUACGGGUGGCUGCAGUCGAGAAUCAUUCACAAUGGGGGAAACCCUGAUGGUGCGACGCCGCGUGGGGGAAUGAAGGUCUUCGGAUUGUAAACCCCUGUCAUGUGGGAGCAAAGUCACCCACGUGUGGGUGUUGGAGAGUACCUGAAGAAAAAGCAUCGGCUAACUCCGUGCCAGCAGCCGCGGUAAUACGGAGGAUGCGAGCGUUAUCCGGAUUUAUUGGGUUUAAAGGGUGCGUAGGCGGGUUAUCAAGUCAGCGGUAAAAUCGUGGAGCUCAACUCCAUCCAGCCGUUGAAACUGAUGAUCUUGAGUGGGCGAGAAGUAUGCGGAAUGCGUGGUGUAGCGGUGAAAUGCAUAGAUAUCACGCAGAACUCCGAUUGCGAAGGCAGCAUACCGGCGCCCGACUGACGCUGAAGCACGAAAGCGUGGGUAUCGAACAGGAUUAGAUACCCGAGUAGUC
rnacentral:rRNA from 1 species